rnacentral:rRNA from 1 species
CCUACGGGGUGCAGCAGUGGGGAAUAUUGGACAAUGGGCGCAAGCCUGAUCCAGCCAUGCCGCGUGAGUGAUGAAGGCCUUAGGGUUGUAAAGCUCUUUCACCGAUGAAGAUAAUGACGGUAGUCGGAGAAGAAGCCCCGGCUAACUUCGUGCCAGCAGCCGCGGUAAUACGAAGGGGGCUAGCGUUGUUCGGAUUUACUGGGCGUAAAGCGCACGUAGGCGGAUUGGUCAGUUAGAGGUGAAAUCCCGAAGCUCAACUUCGGAACUGCCUUUAAUACUGCCAGUCUCGAGUCCGGAAGAGGUAAGUGGAACUCCUAGUGUAGAGGUGGAAUUCGUAGAUAUUAGGAAGAGCACCAGUGGCGAAGGCGGCUUACUGGUCCGGAGCUGACGCUGAGGUGCGAAAGCGUGGGGAGCAAACAGGAUUAGAUACCCGAGUAGUC